GACGAACGCUGGCGGCGUGCCUAAUACAUGCAAGUCGAGCGAAUCAAGAGGAGCUUGCUCCUCUUGGUUAGCGGCGGACGGGUGAGUAACACGUGGGCAACCUGCCUGUAAGACUGGGAUAACUUCGGGAAACCGGAGCUAAUACCGGAUAAUUCUUUCUCUCUCAUGAGGGAAAGCUGAAAGUCGGUUUCGGCUGACACUUACAGAUGGGCCCGCGGCGCAUUAGCUAGUUGGUGAGGUAACGGCUCACCAAGGCGACGACGCGUAGCCGACCUGAGAGGGUGAUCGGCCACACUGGUACUGAGACACGGCCCAGACUCCUACGGGAGGCAGCAGUAGGGAAUCUUCCACAAUGGACGAAAGUCUGAUGGAGCAACGCCGCGUGAGCGAUGAAGGCCUUCGGGUCGUAAAGCUCUGUUGUUAGGGAAGAACAAGUACCGGAGUAACUGCCGGUACCUUGACGGUACCUAACCAGAAAGCCACGGCUAACUACGUGCCAGCCGCCGCCGUAAUAC
rnacentral:rRNA from 1 species